GCCGGAGGGAAACCGAGUCUUAAUUGGGCGUUAAGUUGCAGGGUAUAGACCCGAAACCCGGUGAUCUAGCCAUGGGCAGGUUGAAGGUUGGGUAACACUAACUGGAGGACCGAACCGACUAAUGUUGAAAAAUUAGCGGAUGACCUGUGGCUGGGGGUGAAAGGCCAAUCAAACCGGGAGAUAGCUGGUUCUCCCCGAAAGCUAUUUAGGUAGCGCCUCGUGAAUUCAUCUCCGGGGGUAGAGCACUGUUUCGGCUAGGGGGCCAUCCCGGCUUACCAACCCGAUGCAAACUGCGAAUACCGGAGAAUGUUAUCACGGGAGACACACGGCGGGUGCUAACGUCCGUCGUGAAGAGGGAAACAACCCAGACCGCCAGCUAAGGUCCCAAAGUCAUGGUUAAGUGGGAAACGAUGUGGGAAGGCCCAGACAGCCAGGAUGUUGGCUUAGAAGCAGCCAUCAUUUAAAGAAAGCGUAAUAGCUCACUGGUCGAGUCGGCCUGCGCGGAAGAUGUAACGGGGCUAAACCAUGCACCGAAGCUGCGGCAGCGACACUGUGUGUUGUUGGGUAGGGGAGCGUUCUGUAAGCCUGCGAAGGUGGCCUGUGAGGGUUGCUGGAGGUAUCAGAAGUGCGAAUGCUGACAUAAGUAACGAUAAAGCGGGUGAAAAGCCCGCUCGCCGGAAGACCAAGGGUUCCUGUCCAACGUUAAUCGGGGCAGGGUGAGUCGACCCCUAAGGCGAGGCCGAAAGGCGUAGUCGAUGGGAAACGGGUUAAUAUUCCCGUACUUGGUGUUACUGCGAAGGGGGGACGGAGAAGGCUAUGUUGGCCGGGCGACGGUUGUCCCGGUUUAAGCGUGUAGGUGUGUGUUCCAGGUAAAUCCGGUUCACUUUAACACUGAGGCGUGACGACGAGGCACUACGGUGCUGAAGCAACAAAUGCCCUGCUUCCAGGAAAAGCCUCUAAGCAUCAGGUAACAUCAAAUCGUACCCCAAACCGACACAGGUGGUCAGGUAGAGAAUACCAAGGCGCUUGAGAGAACUCGGGUGAAGGAACUAGGCAAAAUGGUGCCGUAACUUCGGGAGAAGGCACGCUGACACGUAGGUGAAGUGAUUUACUCAUGGAGCUGAAGUCAGUCGAAGAUACCAGCUGGCUGCAACUGUUUAUUAAAAACACAGCACUGUGCAAACACGAAAGUGGACGUAUACGGUGUGACGCCUGCCCGGUGCCGGAAGGUUAAUUGAUGGGGUCAGCGCAAGCGAAGCUCCUGAUCGAAGCCCCGGUAAACGGCGGCCGUAACUAUAACGGUCCUAAGGUAGCGAAAUUCCUUGUCGGGUAAGUUCCGACCUGCACGAAUGGCGUAAUGAUGGCCAGGCUGUCUCCACCCGAGACUCAGUGAAAUUGAACUCGCUGUGAAGAUGCAGUGUACCCGCGGCAAGACGGAAAGACCCCGUGAACCUUUACUAUAGCUUGACACUGAACAUUGAGCCUUGAUGUGUAGGAUAGGUGGGAGGCUUUGAAGUGUGGACGCCAGUCUGCAUGGAGCCGACCUUGAAAUACCACCCUUUAAUGUUUGAUGUUCUAACGUGGACCCGUUACCCGGGUUGCGGACAGUGUCUGGUGGGUAGUUUGACUGGGGCGGUCUCCUCCUAAAGAGUAACGGAGGAGCACGAAGGUUGGCUAAUCCUGGUCGGACAUCAGGAGGUUAGUGCAAUGGCAUAAGCCAGCUUGACUGCGAGCGUGACGGCGCGAGCAGGUGCGAAAGCAGGUCAUAGUGAUCCGGUGGUUCUGAAUGGAAGGGCCAUCGCUCAACGGAUAAAAGGUACUCCGGGGAUAACAGGCUGAUACCGCCCAAGAGUUCAUAUCGACGGCGGUGUUUGGCACCUCGAUGUCGGCUCAUCACAUCCUGGGGCUGAAGUAGGUCCCAAGGGUAUGGCUGUUCGCCAUUUAAAGUGGUACGCGAGCUGGGUUUAGAACGUCGUGAGACAGUUCGGUCCCUAUCUGCCGUGGGCGCUGGAGAACUGAGGGGGGCUGCUCCUAGUACGAGAGGACCGGAGUGGACGCAUCACUGGUGUUCGGGUUGUCAUGCCAAUGGCACUGCCCGGUAGCUAAAUGCGGAAGAGAUAAGUGCUGAAAGCAUCUAAGCACGAAACUUGCCCCGAG
rnacentral:rRNA from 1 species